ACUCCUGCGGGAGGCAGCAGUGGGGAAUUUUGGACAAUGGGCGAAAGCCUGAUCCAGCCAUGCCGCGUGCAGGAUGAAGGCCUUCGGGUUGUAAACUGCUUUUGUACGGAACGAAACGGCCUUUUCUAAUAAAGAGGGCUAAUGACGGUACCGUAAGAAUAAGCACCGGCUAACUACGUGCCAGCAGCCGCGGUAAUACGUAGGGUGCAAGCGUUAAUCGGAAUUACCGGGCGUAAAGCGUGCGCAGGCGGUUAUGUAAGACAGUUGUGAAAUCCCCGGGCUCAACCUGGGAACUGCAUCUGUGACUGCAUAGCUAGAGUACGGUAGAGGGGGAUGGAAUUCCGCGUGUAGCAGUGAAAUGCGUAGAUAUGCGGAGGAACACCGAUGGCGAAGGCAAUCCCCUGGACCUGUACUGACGCUAAUGCACGAAAGCGUGGGGAGCAAACAGGAUUAGAUACCCCAGUAGUCCCAUGA
rnacentral:rRNA from 1 species